GCCAGCGUGGUGUAGUGGUUUGAGCACUGGACUAUGACUCUGAAGAACAGGGUUCAAAUCCCUACUCGGUCA